UACGUAGGGGGCAAACGUUAUCCGGAGUUACUGGGCGUAAAGGGCGUGUAGGCGGUUGGUUAAGUCUGGCGUGAAAGCUCUCGGCUAAACCGGGAGAGGUCGUUGGAUACUGGCCGACUAGAGGACGGUAGAGGCGUGUGGAAUUCCGGGUGUAGUGGUGAAAUGCGUAGAGAUCCGGAGGAACACCAGUGGCGAAGGCGACACGCUGGGCCGUACCUGACGCUAAAGCGCGACAGCAUGGGGAGCAAACGGG
rnacentral:rRNA from 1 species